rnacentral:rRNA from 1 species
CGGACGGGUGAGUAAUGCUUGGGAAGUCUGGCUUAUGGAGGGGGAUAACUACGGGAAACUGUAGCUAAUACCGCGUAAUAUCGAAAGAUUAAAGUGUGGGACCUUCGGGCCACAUGCCAUGGGAUGAGCCCAAGUGGGAUUAGGUAGUUGGUGGGGUAAAGGGCCUACCAAGCCUGCGAUCUCUAGCUGGUCUGAGAGGAUGGCCAGCCACACUGGAACUGAGACACGGUCCAG